rnacentral:tRNA from 1 species
GGAGGCGCCAGCCGAUUGGUGCCGGCCGCGGUCCCGAAAACCGUUGGGGCGAAAGCCCGUGAGCGUUCGACUCGCUCCGUCUCCG